AGUGAACGCUGGCGGUAGGCCUAACACAUGCAAGUCGAACGGCAGCACAGUAAGAGCUUGCUCUUACGGGUGGCGAGUGGCGGACGGGUGAGGAAUACAUCGGAAUCUACUUUUUCGUGGGGGAUAACGUAGGGAAACUUACGCUAAUAUCGCAUACGACCUACGGGUGAAAGCAGGGGAUCUUCGGACCUUGCGCGAUUGAAUGAGCCGAUGUCGGAUUAGCUAGUUGGCGGGGUAAAGGCCCACCAAGGCGACGAUCCGUAGCUGGUCUGAGGGGAUGAUCAGCCACACUGGAACUGAGACACGGUCCAGACUCCUACGGGAGGCAGCAGUGGGGAAUAUUGGACAAUGGGCGCAAGCCUGAUCCAGCCAUACCGCGUGGGUGAAGAAGGCCUUCGGGUUGUAAAGCCCUUUUGUUGGGAAAGAAAAGCAGCAGGUUAAUACCCCGCUGUUCUGACGGUACCCAAAGAAUAAGCACCGGCUAACUUCGUG
rnacentral:rRNA from 1 species